rnacentral:rRNA from 1 species
GACGUAGGGCGCGAGCGUUGUCCGGAUUUAUUGGGCGUAAAGAGCUCGUAGGCGGCUUGUUGCGUCGACCGUGAAAACCCGUGGCUUAACUGCGGGCUUGCGGUCGAUACGGGCGGGCUGGAGUUCGGUAGGGGAGACUGGAAUUCCUGGUGUAGCGGUGAAAUGCGCAGAUAUCAGGAGGAACACCGGUGGCGAAGGCGGGUCUCUGGGGCCGAUACUGACGUGAGGAGCGAAAGCGUGGGGAGCGAACAGG